CCCACACCCCGUUAGAAGCUGGAACUGGGUCCUUGUCACCUUCCUCACCUCCCCAGUCGUAGUCUGGUUAAUCCUUACAUCUCACCACGGUCACCGUGGCUAGAUGUGACCUCCGCGAUGCUUCAGGCACGUACCAGGGCAGCCUGGGCAGGGCUGGUCACUGUGAUCUCAUGAGGUGUGAACUUGACCCCGGCCUUCUUUCCUGGGAUGCCGGCUAAGGACACAAGUUCAGUGUUUGCCCUGGCUUGUAGCCCAGCGGGGGCUCCGUCAUCCCCUGGGGAAUGCCUCGGCCUGCAAGACCGCAUACCGCAUUGGAACAGGGAAACCACCUACUUCAGCACCUCCCUCAGCAAGGUGGCAGGUCCCAACAAGCCUUGCACCACGAGGAAGUGGCAGUGGCAUUCGGGAUAUGGCUCCCUGGCCAGCUUGUGAAGUUCAAGGGGCUCGUUACUUCUUACAGCUCACAGUCCCUCCCGGGUCCAGCACACCUGAGGGCUGACCUCCCUCUUGAUUAGUGCAGGGGAAAAGCACUUUAAAAAGCUGUGUCAUGCGUAACUUGCACAUCUUCUGAUUCUGACCUGAAACUGCAUCCCAGGUCGGCACAGACGCAACCCAGUCUCCUCCCACCUCCGAGAGUGCAGUGUCCUGAAUGGAGAACCCCAGCACCCAGAAGCAUCCACUGAAGGACUAAAUUCUACACAUGAAGGCAAACGUCCGUGGUUGACAGAAAUUACACUGGCCAGAAUCCCCAGUCCCCAUGAGGCUUGUCCAGACGCAGUGAACCAGUCGCAGCUGAUAACACACAGACCAUUCCCGAUCCCAGAGGUGCAUUUCAGGAUUCAUUCUAUUUCAUCAGGUGACGUUUUAACAGAAACAAAACCGCAGGCAGCGGGUGGGGGGAGCUGGAGGUUGGAAUCACACCAACAUUAUAGCAUUAUUACUCUAAAAAAAAUUACUUUUUUGGCUGGGUGCUGUGGCUCACACCUAUAAUUGGGGGGCCAAGGCAGGUGGAUUACCUGAGGUCGGGAAUUCGAGACCAGCCUGACCAACAUGGAGAAACCCCGUCUCUACUAAAAAUACAAAAUUAGCUGGGCGUGGUGGCACAUGUCUGUAAUCCCAGCUACUCGGGAGGCUGAGGCAGGAGAAUCGCUUGAACCCAGGAGGUGGAGGUUGUGCCAUUGCACUCCAGCCUGGGCAACAAGAGCAAAACUCC
rnacentral:lncRNA from 1 species